rnacentral:tRNA from 1 species
GGCGCUAUCGUCUAGUGGUUAGGACACGGCCCUUUCAAGGCCGCGACACGGGUUCGACUCCCGUUAGCGCCA